GCUUCCUCAGGUGCAACUUUUCCCUCGAUCCGUCCAUAAUGAGCAAUCUUCUUCUUGCGCUGUGCUUGCCUGAGCGAAGCCUGUUCUCUUUGAGCUGCUGCGAUGCUGCCUGGAGCCCCAUCCCUGAAAAACAAAAGAUCACUGGGGAUCGCCGCCACUUGGCUGGUGGUGGUGCUAGACUUCUUAGAUUUCUUCGUCAGCAGCGUCCUGGUUUUUGCAGCUGAUUUCGGGGAUAUCGGCUUCUCAGUGCUUGAGCUGAGGCUGUUCGGGUCGAUGGUUCUCUUGACCGGCAAACUCUUGCAGGUCCUCAACUUGGGUGAAACAGGGGAAGAGAGCUUCGCCGUGGCCGGCAGAGCCUUCACAGAAGUAACAUUCCUAGUUGGGGAGGUAGGAGAAAGGGUUGGUUGGUUGGUUUUCAUCAUUGGGAGGUUGGCCUCUUCUUUGGCGACGCGGUUGCCGGCCGGCUGCAGGACCAGCCUGC
rnacentral:misc_RNA from 1 species